rnacentral:lncRNA from 1 species
UUAUUUUGCCUUGAGUUUUACAAAGCCAGUUAGCCAGUUUCUCUGCCGUCACUGUAGUCAGCAUAGUCGGUAGCACGAACUUCGUAUUGGGAUCCAUUCAGGGAAUAAAAAGGUACUACAUUUGCAUUGAGGAUGGGAGAAAAGUUUCAGGAGAGAAGCAGCAGGAGGAAGUGGGUGGGGAGGGAUUGAUGGAGGUGCUGGUGAUGAAGGUGGAACCAGAAGCAGUGCUGAAGGGGGGUGAAGAUGAGGACCUUUGAUGUUCUCUGUGGUCCGCCUGUUGCUCCCCGUCACAUGCUUUCUGAGUUAACGCUUCCCAUAACCGCGUGUGUUAGGCCGUCGCUGAUCUUUCACCAGCUCAGGGAGGUUAAUAGCGUGCCCAACUGCAAAUUAACAAGAGGCUGUAAAAGUUAGAAGUGCAUUCACCUGAUUAAGAAUAAAAAAGCAAAAACCACUUGCCCACAGUAACUUAAAACAAGUAAGAUUAAUUUUCCCCAAAACUUGAAAGUAUCUGGAGGAAAGAAGAUACUGGGGGUGAUCCAGUCCUUGGAAGCUACUGAGACUGAUAUUCCUGUUAUUCUACCGGAUUUUUCUUCAUGCAGGAGGUCUCACGGCCAUCAUACGGCCUCUGUAGCUCCAGACAUUACGUCUGAAGUCGAGGCAGGGAGAAGAGGGAGUGGCAGCAUGAGUCUUAACUGUUUCUUUUGUCAGGAAAGGCAAAUCCUUUCCUGAAGUCCCUAAAAUAGCACAUACUUUAUUGAUCUGAACUGUAUUGACAGCCACGCCUGGUGAUCAGUUUUUUGGGUAAAUAGGUAUUGAGCUUUCCGGGGGCUAAUGGGCAAAUGAGAGAGAAUAAAAUUGGUUACGCCUCUUGUGUUAGCCAACAAAUAGCAUAUGGCGGAGUGCCCGAGUGAGAAGGCAAACUGGCAUCUCCAGCCACGAAUGCAGGACUCUCUUUGUUCACAGAAUCUUCUUGUGGUGAGACUCCCAGCCUGCCUCCUGCAGAUGUGUCUCCCGUUCCAUCGAAGCAGCGCCUUCGAGUAAAGCGAGGUCUUUCUUGCAGGGUUGCCCCAGUAUUGGGAUCUGAUUUCUUCGCAUGGGGAUCAUACGGGGUAAUAGUCUCCUCUGCCCGCCCCCAUUUCCAUUUCCUCCUCCUUCUUUCUCAGUCUCCUACUCUCCUCCCGUGUCUCCCCUCCUGUCACUUCCUCUCCAUCCUCCUCACUCCCAUGCUCCUCCCUCACUUCCACUCUUUGGCCACAGCUCUGUUUCAGCCUAAUGAGGAGAGCGGUGGAGUCUGAAAUACUUCAAGGGGAAGAAAAGGUUAGAAGCAAAAUUCAAGAGGUUGAUUCUGUCAAGACCCUCAUCUGGGAUUCUCUGGUCUGGCAGAUUCAUUAUUUUGUGAAAUGAUAACUGAUUGCAUCUGAAGGAGCAUGAGAGAGUGAUUUAGAUCACUUCCAGCCCUGUCAGCAAACAAUAUCUCAGACAGCAUCGGAAAAUGAGACAGGGUAGCUGUGCAGCCAGGAACCCUCUAGACCGUCCCGUCUCACCCCGGUCAGAAAGGGCUUAGCGGCCAACACUAGAUGAUGCUUCUGAUUUAACACCACAUCGUUCAUUUGUUAAGGUCAUGAUUUACCUUAACUGUUUAUUUGGAUGAAUUUGGAUGAUUGUAUUUAUUCAUAAAACUACUGCAAAAAUGUGGUACAGAUUAUUUCCAUCACUGCAGCACGUUUGUUUGUACUGCUUCAUAGAACUGUUCCACUCCCAGAAAGAACCAAUAUUCUGAAUUCUAUCACCACAGAACAAGUUUGGCUGUUCUUCAACUUCAUGAAAGUGGA